UCCCACUGCCAUGAGCUGUAGCACAGUAAUAGAGAGCCUCGUCCUCAGGCUGCAGCCCAGAGAUGAGCAGAAGCCCUGCAUUGGCCGAGGCAUCUUAGGACCCGGAGAAGCGGCUGGGGACCCCAGGGCCCUGGUGCUUAUCUGAGUCUGA